CUAGCAUAAGACGAUAAGCAAGACAGGGAUCUCUGCAGCGCUCCUGAUUUCAAAUCGGCGGCGCGGAUGAUGCAUCCGUCUAGGGGAAUCUCUGAUGCUAU
rnacentral:snoRNA from 3 species